AACGAACGCUGGCGGCAUGCCUAACACAUGCAAGUCGAACGAGACCUUCGGGUCUAGUGGCGCACGGGUGCGUAACGCGUGGGAACCUGCCCUUAGGUUCGGAAUAACUCCCCGAAAGGGGUGCUAAUACCGGAUAAUGUCUUCGGACCAAAGAUUUAUCGCCUUUGGAUGGGCCCGCGUUGGAUUAGCUAGUUGGUAGGGUAAAAGCCUACCAAGGCGACGAUCCAUAGCUGGUCUGAGAGGAUGAUCAGCCACACUGGGACUGAGACACGGCCCAGACUCCUACGGGAGGGAGCAGUGGGGAAUAUUGGACAAUGGGCGAAAGGCUGAUCCAGCAAUGCCGCGUGAGGGAUGAAGGCCUUAGGGUUGGAAAGCUCUUUUACCCGGGAUGAUAAUGACAGUACCGGGAGAAUAAGCUCCGGCUAACUCCGGG
rnacentral:rRNA from 1 species